rnacentral:rRNA from 1 species
UUCUCUCUUCUGACGAACCAUGAUGUCAUUAAUUUGGUGUCAUGUGGAAUCAGAACUGUUACUUUGAAAAAAUUAGAGUCGUUUGAAGCAGGCUCACGCUUGAAUACAUUAGCAUGGAAUAAUGAAAUAGGACGUUUGAUUCUAUUUUGUUGGUUUCUAGGAUUGACGUAAUGAUUAAUAGGGAUAGUUGGGGGCAUUAGUAUUCAAUUGUCAGAGGUGAAAUUCUUGGAUUUAUUGAAGACUAACUACUGCGAAAGCAUUUGCCAAGGAUGUUUUCAUUAAUCAAGAACGAAAGUUAGGGGAUCGAAGACGAUCAGAUACCGUCGUAGUCUUAACCAUAAACUAUGCCGACUAGGGAUCGGAUGAUGUUAUUUUUAAUGACUC